CAGGCGUGAAGGGUGGCAUUACUGCGCUGUGCACCCUUCCUCAGCUACCAGCCCCUGCGCGCGCUCGUGCGGAGCCAGCUGGCUGCAUCCCCACCUUCCUGAGUGAAGCCUGCAGGACCCUGCUCCAGGACUGCCCGGAGAGGCUGAGCAAGAAGGCUGCCCUGAGAGCAGCCUCUGCCCAGCAGCUGAUAGGAUACAUGAUGGACAAUUGAAGCCAGAGAAGAGCAGGAGGCUUGGGACACCCGCCCUGCU